rnacentral:snRNA from 1 species
AUGCUUUGGCAGCACGUAUGCUAAACUUGGAACGAUACAGAGAUCAGCGUGGAAGACGUGGGAAUUCAUGAAGGGGUCCAUAUUCUU